ACAUUGGUGGUUCAGUGUUAGGAUUCUCUCCUGCCAUGUGGGAGGCCCAGGUUUGAUUCCUGGCCAAUGCA
rnacentral:tRNA from 1 species